AAUCAACGCUGGCGGCGUGCCUCAGACAUGCAAGUCGAACGAUUAAACUCCCUUCGGGAAGAUAUAAAGUGGCGCACGGGUGAGUAACACGUAAGUAAUCUACCUUCGAGUGGGGAAGUAACGUUCGGAACGGACGCUAAUACCGCAUAAUGCAGCGGCAUCGCAAGAUGACAGUUGUUAAAGAUUUAUCGCUUGAAGAGGAGCUUGCGGCAGAUUAGCUAGUUGGAAGGUAAUGGCUUACCAAGGCUACGAUCUGUAUCCGGUCUAAGAGGACGGUCGGACACACUGACACUGAAUAACGGGUCAGACUCCUACGGGA
rnacentral:rRNA from 1 species